rnacentral:rRNA from 1 species
CACGUAGGGCGCAAGCGUUGUCCGGAAUUAUUGGGCGUAAAGAGCUCGUAGGCGGCUUGUUGCGUCGGCUGUGAAAACCCAUGGCUCAACCGUGGGCUUGCAGCCGAUACGGGCAGGCUAGAGUUCGGUAGGGGAGACUGGAAUUCCGGGUGUAGCGGUGGAAUGCGUAGAGAUCCGGAAGAACACCAGUGGCGAAGGCGGCCCGCUGGGCAGUGGCUGACGCUGAAGCGCGACAGCGUGGGGAGCAAACAGG